CUCCGAGCGGGCGGGAUCGCCCCUUCUCCUGCCCGCGCCGCACAAAGGGGACCCGCCGCUGCCGCCUUUGUUCGGCCGAGCGGCGCCGGCAAGGGAGGGCGGCGGGUGGCAGGCUGGACGCUUCUCCCAUGCGAAGAUUGUUCCUCCGCCACUGGCAGACACGGAGUAACUUCACCGAAGUUAAUUUAGGUCUGUGAUGAAAACCUCUUCACCUGUGCCAAGCGCUGCUCGGCAUCCAGCACUGAAGUCAGCCUACGCGCGGUGCUUCAGCUGCCUGUUUAUGCCUCAGGAGCUGACUCCUGUUAAAUUAAGGGUGGGUGUUUUAUUGCUCAGGGUAGAUGGGAUCGUGAAGACUGGUUUCUUAGCAUUCUGUCCUUGGCAGCCACCAAGAACUACUGAAAAACGAGUUUCAGAUGCACCUUUACCCCGUUAUCUGUGGUAGGUCACAGAUCUUCUUUCAAACGUUGCUACUCAUUUGCCUAUUGUUCUACGUGUCCAGUUGCUCACUGACCAUUGAGACCUUCAGUUCAGGUACUUGAGGUCAACACAUGCAGCCCUGUCAUGCCAGUUAAAAGGAUAGAGGGAGGAGAAUUUCCCCUCAUUCACAUCUCACUUAGAAGAGACUGACAGACUUAUAAAUGGAGCUAGAAAAUUCAAAAGAGGACAAGAUUGCUGAGUGUGACUGAGUAUCACCCAAGCCAGCUGAGUUGCGGUGUGGGAAUAAACCCAAAAGCUUUUACAUGAAGAGGGGUGGCAGCAGCACUCCCUGCAGAAUAUAAAACUACCCAACCUUCCAAGCCUUGCUUUUUCUUCCUUACUUGAUUUCUCUGCUGGGAAUAGCUCAUUCAGCAGCACAACAGGCAGCACAACAUGGCCUUAUACAUUGUCUAGCCCCAAAUGUGCAAUACCAUGCUGGCACUCACCCACAGCGUUCCUCCAGUGGAGCUGCAGGUGUGUUCCAGGCACUGCUACCUCCAGGACCUGCUUUGAAGAGUGCACCAGAUACCCUGGCAAGGGGAGGUUGGGGAAAAAAAAAAGAGAGAGAAAAAAUCAAUCCAUGUUACUGCAUUGGAGCUACUCAUAAAGGGCCUCCCCCCCACCCCAAGUUAUCAACUCUUGCUGCUAGUAGGUAUCUGAUGAUAUUUAUAUAGUGCAUGUGGGUAGUGACUGUGUCCCUUUCUCUGUUGGCUGUUCUGAGAGCUUCUUUUGACAGCUGAUACAUGAAAAGAUUUGUUGUUUUUUGAAAUGUAGUGGCAGAGUUUUUAUACUUUGGGCCAGAGUGUCAGUGAAGGUUCUUUAGUGAUGUGUGCAUUGGAAGUGACAAGCGGUGAAUAACUGACAUCAGGCAUAAGUAAUAUUUGUAGUCUGACUUUGAUAUGUUAUUCUUUAAAAAAAUCCAGUCUGUAAAUACAGUCUACAUUUGUUAGCUUGAAAGGAAGGAAAGGGGAUGAGUGCAAAUACAGAAGACAGAAGUGGAAAACCGUAACAAGAAGAAAAAGCAAGCAGAAAUAAGCUGAUAAAGAUAAAAAGGAGUGAGAGUAUUAAAAGAGAGAAUAUAGACAUACGAAUGGAUCAGAACUAAUACAAAAAUGCUGAAAAAUGUGAGAAAAAUUGAAGAUGAAAGGAAUCACAAUGUAACAGAUCAGAAAAAAAUAGUGUUUGUAAACUCUAAUCUGAAUUCCUAUAUACAAUCAAUAAGGACUUCAGCACCCUAUGAAAUAAAUGUGUUUUGUAAAAGAGGUAUGUGAUGAAGUCCCAUUGACUGGGAAAAACUCUAGUUUGCAAGUCAAAAGGAUUCUGUAAAGUUAUUUAAAAUGCACAGCAGGAACAGGUGGGGUGGUUGAUAUGUGUACCGUGUAGAAGCAAUUUGGAUGGUGAUGUAAAACAAAUAUUAUGUUUAACACCCAUAAGAACAAUGCAGUUUUUCAGCAAGAAAUGGGUUAUUCCAGGGAAGACAUUUGAAUGAACUUGUGGGGCUCUUUCACUGACUUCAGUGAAGCUCAUGACUGUAUUUUCAUUCAGACAUUUUGCUUUUCUUUGUUAAUUAUCUGUAGACUAGAAAUGGCAAUGAGAGCAGUAAGCCAUAAGGUGGUAUGUACUUUUGCUGAAUUCUUUAUUCACAUGUUGCCCAUUAUUUUCUUUGAGAGUAGGAAAAGUAUAAUCCAGCAGGGAACAAAUCUUUAAAGUCAUUGAAGUACUUUCCAAAAGGAAAUAUUUUACAUCCGAAAACGAGAAGAGAGAGAGAUAAGGGACUUACAGGAUAGGUCAGUGGCUGAAGCAGAAUAUCAGCUCCUACUUGGUGGUCUCAUUAUCACCCCCAAACAGCACUUUUACAUAGAAGAGUUGUCUGAUAAAACUUCACAUCAGUCAGCACACUUUUUCAAAGUACUGAACGUAAUAACAGGAAAAGUAUGCAAGUCAAUAUGUUUAAAUAGCAUAAAUCACAGAAGAGACACAUUGUCUAUCCACGAGAAAAAAAACCAAAACCAAAAAACCAAACAGAUUUUAAUAUUGUAUUAUGGAAGUGGAGCAUCAACUGCCUUCUUCCUUUACUUGGCUGCUCAUAGGACUUAGUUGCAGCAGAAAAGCCAUACAGUAGGCUUUUAGGAAGGGGUGGAGCCAACACUGCGUAGGGACUGCACUCAGCUCUACUUCCAGAGAAGCCACGGGUGCUAAACAGCUUUCAAAUGCUUACCUUUCCACAGCUGUGAACAGAGAUGCUACCUUUGUGCUUCUGUUCUAGCAAUUGAAUAAAUAUUUAUUAUUUCCUCA